UACGAAGGGGGCUAGCGUUGCUCGGAAUCACUGGGCGUAAGGCGCACGUAGGCGGAUUCUUAAGUCGGAGGUGAAAUCCUGGAGCUUAACUCCAGAACUGCCCCCGAUACUGGGAGUCUCGAGUUCGGGAGAGGUGAGUGGAACUGCGAGUGUAGAGGUGAAAUUCGUAGAUAGUCGUAAGAACACCAGUGGCGAAGGCGGCUCACUGGCCCGAUACUGACGCUGAGGUGCGAAAGCGUGGGGAGCAAACAGG
rnacentral:rRNA from 1 species